rnacentral:ncRNA from 1 species
UCAGAGGCGCGCCGGACAAGAGUAGCAGGCGGAGGAGCAGGCAUCCCGUGAAACCUGUGAAAGGGGAAGGCGCCGAAAGGCGGAGCCGGCCGGGACUCUGCGCUUGGCUGCAGGGAGAAUAUCCGUGCGGCUGUCAUCGGACGCAUGUCCGGCGGAGCGCUGAU